AUCACACUGCUACAGAUGAGUAAGAAGCCCUAGGUGACCCAUUUACCCUUCCCCAGCAGGGUACCAGCUGCCAAUUGCCCCCACUCUGUGAUGGCUUGUCCUUCUUCUCACCUUGUCAUCAAGCCAAGACUGCACACUGUAGGAGCACAGCCUCUGCUCUAGGUGAAUCUUCUCAAGGCAUCAGUUCUGGCAACCCAGAUGGGACAGAAGGCAUCAAGAUAAGAAUGAGUGGCAAAUCUCCUGACAAAAUGGAGCAGCCAGAAGAGAGAAGUGAGAACAUAUGAGAGAAAUAGCCCUGCAGACACCAAGGUCAGCAAGGAAGAGGGAGGAGGUGUUCCAGGUGCUGGAGCUAAGAUUCCCCUGCAGGACUUGGUGCAGACCAUGCCUCCUGGCAGGACCUAUGGACCCAUGCAGAGAGGAGCUCACACUGGAGCGGGUUUGCUGGAAAGACUUAUGACCCCGUGGAAGGGACUCAUGAUGGAGUGGUUUGUGGAAAACUGCAGCCAGCGGGAAGGAGUCACACUGGGGAAAUUCAUGGAGGACUGUCUUCCAUGGGAGGGAGCCCACACUGGAACAGGGGAAGAGUGAGGAGUCCUCCCCUGAGGAAAAAGGAACAGCAAAGACAAUAUGUGAUGAGCUCACUGCAAUCCCUUUUUCUAGCCCUCUGUGCCACUGGGGCAGACAAGGUGGACAAAUUGAGAGUGAAGCUGAGGGAAACCCAGGAGGAAGGGAAUGAUGGGGGGAAAGUGUUUUAAGAUAUAGUUUUUGUUUCUAGUCAUCCUACUCUGAAUUGAUUGCUAAUAAAUUAAAUAAAUUUCAUCAUGUCAGGUCUGUUUUGCCUGUGAUGAUAGUUGUUGAGUGACCUCCCCCUGUCCUUAACUCCAUCCAUGAGCCUUUCAUGGUAAUUUCUCUCUCCUGUCCAGCUGAGGAGGGGACUGAUAGAAGGGCUUUGGUGAGCACUUGAUGUCCAGACAAGAUUAACCCACUACAGAUAUCUUGAUGAAUCCUCCUACAUAGUGUUUUUCAUAUGCUGUACUCUGAUUAUACUCAGUUUUGUAAUGUGGAAAUGGUUAUUAAAGUAUUUAUGCAUUGUCAAUUUAAAAUUUUUAGAGACACUUGUUACUGCUUUUUUAAGCAAUUGCUGUGUCA